UACGGAGGGGGUUAGCGUUGUUCGGAAUUACUGGGCGUAAAGCGCGCGUAGGCGGAUCAGAAAGUUGGGGGUGAAAUCCCGGGGCUCAACCCCGGAAUUGCCUUCAAAACUCCUGGUCUUGAGUUCGAGAGAGGUGAGUGGAAUUCCGAGUGUAGAGGUGAAAUUCGUAGAUAUUCGGAGGAACACCAGUGGCGAAGGCGGCUCACUGGCUCGAAACUGACGCUGAGGUGCGAAAGCGUGGGGAGCAAUCAGG
rnacentral:rRNA from 1 species